rnacentral:rRNA from 1 species
UACGUAGGGGGCAAGCGUUGUCCGGAUUUAUUGGGCGUAAAGAGCUCGUAGGCGGUUCCGUAAGUCGUGAAGUCAAAUCUCUGGGCUCAACCCAGAAUCGCUUCCGAUACUGCGGUGACUGGAGUCCGGUAGGGGAGUGUGGAAUUCCUGGUGUAGCGGUGAAAUGCGCAGAUAUCGGGAGGAACACCGGUGGCGAAGGCGGUUCUCUGGGCCUGUACUGACGCUGAGGAGCGAAAGCGUGGGGAGCGAACAGG